rnacentral:rRNA from 1 species
GACGAACGCUGGCGGCGUGCUUAACACAUGCAAGUCGAACGGGCCUGUCUUCUUUUUUGGGGGUGGGUUGAGUGGCGAACGGGUGAGUAUCACGUGAGUAACCUGCCCUUCGGUCCUGGAUAACCGCUUGAAAGGGCGGCUAAUACGGGGUGGUCCGGUUGGUCCGCAUGGGCUGGUCGGGAUAGAUUCACUGUUUUUGGUGUUUCGGCGGGGGAUGGGCUCGCGGCCUAUCAGCUUGUUGGUGGGGUGAUGGCCUACCAAGGCGGUGACGGGUAGCCGGCCUGAGAGGGUGGGCGGCCACACUGGGACUGAGAUACGGCCCAGACUCCUGCGGGCGGCAGCAGUGGGGGGUAUUGCACAAUGGGCGGAAGCCUGAUGCAGCGACGUCGCGUGAGGGAUGGAGGCCUUCGGGUUGUGAACCUCUGUUUCCGGUGGUGAAGGCCCUGUCCGUGUGGUGGGGUUGACGGUAGCCGGGGAUGAAGCGCCGGCUAACUACGUG